AGAGUUUGAUCCUGGCUCAGGACGAACGCUGGCGGCGUGCUUAACACAUGCAAGUCGAACGGAAAGGCCCUUCGGGGUACUCGAGUGGCGAACGGGUGAGUAACACGUGGGUGAUCUGCCCUGCACUUUGGGAUAAGCCUGGGAAACUGGGUCUAAUACCGAAUAUGACCAUGCACUUCCUGGUGUGUGGUGGAAAGCUUUUGCGGUGUGGGAUGGGCCCGCGGCCUAUCAGCUUGUUGGUGGGGUAAUGGCCUACCAAGGCGACGACGGGUAGCCGGCCUGAGAGGGUGACCGGCCACACUGGGACUGAGAUACGGCCCAGACUCCUACGGGAGGCAGCAGUGGGGAAUAUUGCACAAUGGGCGCAAGCCUGAUGCAGCGACGCCGCGUGAGGGAUGACGGCCUUCGGGUUGUAAACCUCUUUCAGCACAGACGAAGCGCAAGUGACGGUAUGUGCAGAAGAAGGACCGGCCAACUACGUGCCAGCAGCCGCGGUAAUACGUAGGGUCCGAGCGUUGUCCGGAAUUACUGGGCGUAAAGAGCUCGUAGGUGGUUUGUCGCGUUGUUCGUGAAAACUCACAGCUUAACUGUGGGCGUGCGGGCGAUACGGGCAGACUUGAGUACUGCAGGGGAGACUGGAAUUCCUGGGGUAGCGGUGAAAUGCGUAGA
rnacentral:rRNA from 1 species